UACGGAGGGUGCAAGCGUUACUCGGAAUCACUGGGCGUAAAGAGCGCGUAGGCGGGACCUUAAGUCAGCGGUAAAAUUGCGGUGCUCAACGCCGUAGAGCCGUUGAAACUGGGGAUCUAGAGUGUGCGAGAGGUAUGCGGAAUGCGUGGUGUAGCGGUGAAAUGCAUAGAUAUCACGCAGAACCCCGAUUGCGAAGGCAGCAUACCGGUGCACAACUGACGCUCAGGCACGAAAGCGUGGGUAUCGAACAGG
rnacentral:rRNA from 1 species